rnacentral:rRNA from 1 species
CGCCCUUAGAGUUUGAUCAUGGCUCAGAUUGAACGCUGGCGGCAGGCUUAACACAUGCAAGUCGAACGGUAUAGGUGCUUGCACCUGACGAGUGGCGGACGGGUGAGUAAUGUAUGGGGAUCUGCCGAAUGGAUUGGGACAACCACUGGAAACGGUGGCUAAUACCGAAUAAUGUUGAGAGACCAAAGUGUUUCGACAUGCCAUUUGAUGAACCCAUAUGGGAUUAGCUAGUAGGCGGGGUAAUGGCCCACCUAGGCGACGAUCUCUAGCUGGUCUGAGAGGAUGACCAGCCACACUGGGACUGAGACACGGCCCAGACUCCUACGGGAGGCAGCAGUGGGGAAUAUUGCACAAUGGGGGAAACCCUGAUGCAGCCAUGCCGCGUGUAUGAAGAAGGCCUUCGGGUUGUAAAGUACUUUCGGUAGUGAGGAAGGUUACUAUUAACAUAGUAAAUUGACGUUAAUUACAGAAGAAGCACCGGCUAACUCCGUGCCAGCAGCCGCGGUAAUACGGAGGGUGCGAGCGUUAAUCGGAUGGACUGGGCGUAAAGGGCAUGUAGGUGGAUAAUUAGUUAGGGUGUGAAAGCCCCAAG